UCGGGCUCCCGGGGGACCUCUGUCAGCAGGGAAGCAAACAGUCUCAACACAGAACAAACAGAAGCAAACGCGAACAGCGUCUCUGUGUCCACACGAUACUGCAGAUCUCAGACAUCUAAGUUCUCCAAAGGCUUUAACUUUAUAAGUCAGACACACUCCUGUUCUCUUAAUUAGGAGAAAACACUGAAAAGGCAAGAAAGAAAACAACGUUCUCCAAAUCCAGCAGCAAGUCAACAGGAAACAAAACGUCCCCUCCCGGAGUCCAGGACAGUCGACAGGCCACGCUCCCUCGGUUCCAGAGAUCUGAAAAGCGUAACGCUGUCUCAGUGAGAGCGAUUAGUUUUAAAUCUACCUAAUUACUUAGGUGGUCACACACUGCAGAGUUUCGUUUGUAAUAAAUCAGGGAUUCACCGAAGGGCGAUCCAGGACUGCGACAUCUCCCCCCACAGAUCAGCAAACGUCCCUGUUCCCAGCUGGGCAUCACUGUAGGGAAGUCACUGCACACACAGAAAGGCCACCGGAGCGCACUCGGCUGGGGACCACGGGAGGAGAAUGCACUCGGGAGCGCUGGACCUUCAGGGCCAGCGACCCACGGCUUGGAUGGCGGGCGGAAGCCAGUCCUCCCACCGUGAGACUGGGAGCGGGCAGGUAUGUGAAUGCACAGUGAGGUCUGGGGAGCAUGGGGUGCUCCCUGGCCUCUCAGGGUCUGUCCGCAGACUGGCCUCAGGCAUCCAGCGCAAAUGUCCUCUCUCCUUCGUGAGAGCUCCUCCCGCAUGGCGACCCAGAGCACACCAAGGUUCACAGCAGAGGGUUAUGGAGCCCAAGUGCCAUCUUGGACCAUCAGCCCCUCACACGUCCUGCAAGAACCUAACGGAACAGAGGGAGGCUCCUGGGAGGCCUUGUCAUCGGGCUGUGUGGAGCCAGCUUCUGCGUCCGCGCUUCCAGCCCAGCCGAGAGCCCCGCGGGAGGUGUCCCGUGCCCGUCCUCGUGUCUGCAGCGGGCGCUCCUUCGUCUCUGCUGGGCUGCCAGCUGUCAACACAGGUGCCCGGCGGUGGCAAGCACGCUGGCCCCCGCGACACUCCCACCUCCCUCCUCAGGGGUCUGAAGGCGACAGGGACGUGGGAGAGUCGCGUCCAGGCACAAGCGCGGAAGGACUGAGUCCAGGGAGAGGCGGCUCGGGGCGCGUUUACAGCAGCCCCGCCCUGUGCUGGGUGAGAACACACAGGGCGGGGAGGGGGGGGGGUCAACGGGCAAGUCUCCGCCCCGCCUUCACUCCUGCCCAUCCCUCUCCAGCCCGAGAAAUGGCGUCACAGCUGGGGGUUCUUCCCCCAGUUCCUCCCUCUCCGACGAUGGAACAGCCCCUCAUCACGUCAGUAGCCGCCAGUGCCAAGCGCCUACUGUGUGCAGGGCAGCAGCACUGCUCCCCUGUCUUGUCUCAUCCGAGCCUGACAUCAGGGCCACGAGGUGGGCACCCUCAUGAUGCCCACCCUUCAGACGAGAAGAGUGAGGCUGAGAGCCAUACUGGGCAGUUAAGUGCCGGGAGAGUACAGACCACAACCCGAGUGUGAACUGGCGCCACUGCAGUGCCCACUACGGGGAGACCGGCAGCAGCCUCCUGGGGCCGCAGGAGUCGGGGGGACCCUCGGGGGCAGGGAUUUCCCACCACUAAAAUGGAGGAACGAGCAGGAGGGGGUUGGAGGAAAAGAGCUUGUUAAAAAACUUGUAUUAAACUGUUGGUGUCCAUCUGACGUCACUGUAUUUAUUUUUCUAUUAAGAUAGUUCCCUGGAGUAUGUGGACUGCGCGGAUCCAGUCACUUUUAUCUGCUCAGACGUGGCUUGGUAGACUUCGGUUUCCUGUACCAAACAGCAAGCACGAGCGCUUAGACGAACUGAACUUGGGGAUGUGCAGCACCCUCUCUGACAAGCUGCAGCGGCUGGUGGACGCGGCCCGUGUGACGUGUUCUCAGGGCAAAUACUUGGCACCUCUGAACAGAGCCAUGCACCCGCUGUGCCUUCUCUGGGAGAACCUGAGCCCGGAUCCGGGAGCAGCUGCGGGGAUGGAGGGCUCCAUCUGCCCCAGAGGGUGCCUUUUGCUGCAGAAGGAGGGCCGGGACCAGGGACCACCUGCCAGGUAUGUAUUCAGCCUCCAGGCUGACUGACUAGAAGCUGGGGUGGAACCACCAGCGUCCCCGAGGCCCCUGGUCUUGCUGGCGGAGCAGGAGUCCUGACCAUGUCCCUCCCCACGGAGGGGCCAUGUGGGCCCUGGGAGGUGGGCCACCUGGGGAAGUUCCAUGGUGGGAGUGGAGCAGGGGGACAAAGGUGAGAGGAGCUGCCAGGCGGAUGCAACGGUCGUGGUCUGGGAGCACCCGCUCUGGUCGCAUCAGGGCGCUCACGCCUGUCGACAGAAUCCACUGCUGGAGCCACAGAGGCCCUUGUCCCGAGGCUCUGACACGAACGUGUAA